UCCGUAGGUGGUUUUAUAAGUCAGGUGUAAAAGGCAAUAGCUCAACUAUUGUAAGCAUUUGAAACUGUAAAACUUGAGUACAGGAGAGGUAAGUGGAAUUCCUAGUGUAGCGGUGAAAUGCGUAGAUAUUAGGAGGAACACCAGUGGCGAAGGCGACUUACUGGACUGUAACUGACACUGAGGUACGAAAGCGUGGGGAGCAAACAGGAUUAGAUACCCUGGUAGUCC
rnacentral:rRNA from 1 species